AACAAUGAGGAGACAGAAUCUUCAGGUCCUGACAGCCGAGAGAAUGUGCCAGAAAGAGAAGGGAGGAAGUCAGUGACCGUGACCUCGAUGAUUAUGGCUGGGUCAGCAGUGCCAUUAACCAGAACAGCAAGGGUGCCAAUGGAUUGUCUUGUGCAUGUGAUCAGCCCACUUGAGAGGCCUCUGGUCUGGACUACACUUUGGAGAAACUACCCGUACAUUUUCAAAUUCAGACCUGGCAAGUUAUUUGUAAGAAGGGCCUUUGGCUACGAGGUAGGCUGGGAAAUCACGUCGCAGUCAAACCAAAUCAAAAGGGCCCACCGAAUUUAUGAUUCUCCCUUUCUUUCCAUCGUCUGAGAUACUCAGUUGUCUAAUUGUUCCCUGAGGUUUAAGGUGGCAGACUGAGAACAGCAGCUCCAGCAGCACUUCGUUAGCUCCAUGGAUGACACCGAUCCGUCCACAUAACUCAGAGCGUUUGUUGAAAACGUCAUUCAGAGGAAACACUGCCUGAGUCAUGGUUUGAUCAAAUGUGUAGAAUAAUGUAACAGGAACUGCGUUCUUCAAAAAGUCCCAAGGCCAUAAUGACGAUGGGGUUUGCGGAUGAGAGAUGCCAGAUAUUCUAUCCAAUUCAAGAAGGCAAACAGGUGAAUGCACUCAGUGCUGUGGGCUUCAACCUCAGCAGGGAGAAUGGCAAUGCUACCCGUCUCCUAAAGCACUGUGGGCAUAAAAUCUCCUCCUGUGUACAGUGAAUUUGGCCAAGUGUAUUGUAGCUCUGGGAGCCUACGCAGGCCAUCAAAAGAGCAAGAGAGCAGUGGCCAAGUGAUAUAUUCAGAGGAAAUCCAGAGGCUACCAAAGGGAAAGGACCCUUCUGCAGGAGAGCAAAAGGGAAUGAUCGAGGUGUCCCCACCGUUCUGGAAGCGGGUCAUACCACCCACGUGCAAAGACAGCAGGAAAAUCCAAUUAAACAGACACUGUGUUUAAUGUUUUUCACCUCAAAGUGCAUUCUAACCUAGCACAAAGUAAUUACUUUCUACAGUUCUGGGUAGAAAGGAGAUAGAAUGAGUGGGCAUUACCACCUCAUCUAAUGGUGGCAGAACAGAAGUGGAAUAAGGCUGGAGCCUUGGUCCUCUGUGACCGAGUGGCACUUACCUCAUGUGCUGUCCCACUUCCCUGGCCUAAUUCCCAAGCAUACCAUGCCGCUGUGGGGUCCCACGAUUUUUAUUGGUAGUCGAAGGAUAAGCUCAUGACUCUGCUCUAUGAAACUUAAGCUGUCCCACUCAAGGCACUUUGAUUACUGCCUCUCUUGCAUUGCACAUAUUUCUACUACUAUGCUUUUUUUUUAUUACAUCAUGAUAUACAUUUUUUAAAUGCCAGCCUCCUUUAGUAGACUAUAGGUUCAUUAAGAUCAGGGACCAUGUCUAAUCUUUGUAUUUCCAGUACCAACACAGAUCUUGACAUUUAAUAGGUACUCUAUAAGUAUUUGGAGGACGUCAUGAAUAAUAACCUGGUCUGCUGUUGAAAAUGCUUAGAAGUCCCUCAUGUUGUUAUGCACAUGGUCUCUUGGACCCCUUACAAUAAACCUGUGAAUAUGUUAUCA
rnacentral:lncRNA from 1 species